AAAUUGAAGAGUUUGAUCAUGGCUCAGAUUGAACGCUGGCGGCAGGCCUAACACAUGCAAGUCGAACGGUAGCACAGAGAGCUUGCUCUCGGGUGACGAGUGGCGGACGGGUGAGUAAUGUCUGGGAAACUGCCCGAUGGAGGGGGAUAACUACUGGAAACGGUAGCUAAUACCGCAUAAUGUCGCAAGACCAAAGUGGGGGACCUUCGGGCCUCACACCAUCGGAUGUGCCCAGAUGGGAUUAGCUUGUUGGUGGGGUAACGGCUCACCAAGGCGACGAUCCCUAGCUGGUCUGAGAGGAUGACCAGCCACACUGGAACUGAGACACGGUCCAGACUCCUACGGGAGGCAGCAGUGGGGAAUAUUGCACAAUGGGCGCAAGCCUGAUGCAGCCAUGCCGCGUGUAUGAAGAAGGCCUUCGGGUUGUAAAGUACUUUCAGCGGGGAGGAAGGCGUUGUGGUUAAUAACCGCAGCGAUUGACGUUACCCGCAGAAGAAGCACCGGCUAACUCCGUGCCAGCAGCCGCGGUAAUACGGAGGGUGCAAGCGUUAAUCGGAAUUACUGGGCGUAAAGCGCACGCAGGCGGUUUGUUAAGUCAGAUGUGAAAUCCCCGGGCUCAACCUGGGAACUGCAUUUGAAACU
rnacentral:rRNA from 1 species